rnacentral:rRNA from 1 species
GAUGAACGCUGGCGGCGUGCCUAACACAUGCAAGUCGAACGGAGAUUCCGGACGGAAGUUUUCGGAUGGAAGACUGUAAUUCUUAGUGGCGGACGGGUGAGUAACGCGUGGGCAACCUGCCCUAUACAGGGGGAUAGCAGCUGGAAGCGGCUGGUAAGACCGCAUAAGUCGGUUAAAUCGCAUGAUUUGAUCGGGAAAUGAGCAAUCAGGUAUAGGAUGGGCCCGCGUCCGAUUAGCCAGUUGGCAGGGUAAAAGCCUACCAAAGCGACGAUCGGUAGCCGGACUGAGAGGUCGGACGGCCACAUUGGGACUGAGACACGGCCCAAACUCCUACGGGAGGCAGCAGUGGGGGAUAUUGCACAAUGGAGGAAACUCUGAUGCAGCGACGCCGCGUGAGUGAAGAAGUAUUUCGGUAUGUAAAGCUCUAUCAGCAGGGAAGAUGAUGACGGUACCUGACUAAGAAGCCCCGGCUAACUACGUG